rnacentral:rRNA from 1 species
UACGUAGGGGGCUAGCGUUGUCCGGAUUUAUUGGGCGUAAAGAGCGUGUAGGCGGCCAGAUAGGUCUGCUGUGAAAACUCGAGGCUCAACCUCGAGAUGUCGGCGGAAACCAUUUGGCUAGAGUCCGGAAGAGGAAAGUGGAAUCCCUGGUGUAGCGGUGAAAUGCGUAGAUAUCUGGAGGAACACCGGUGGCGAAGGCGGCGAUCCUGGACCGACACUGACGCUGAGGCGCGAAAGCUAGGGUAGCAAACGGG